rnacentral:tRNA from 1 species
GCGGUUGUGGCGGAAUGGCAGACGCGCUAGGUUGAGGGCCUAGUGGGGGCAACCCCGUGGAGGUUCGAGUCCUCUCAACCGCA